CUUAAAACACUAUUGGGCUUUACAUUUUACACUUAAAAAUGGAUCCCACAUUUUACACUCGUGUUAAAUAACAAAAUAAGAUUUUAACUCUAUUAUUGGACAUGACCUUACCAUCUCGAUCGUAAUCACCAUAGCUCUCAGCCUCUCACUCGUUCUUUUUCCAACAAAAUGAUUCAAAGUGGAAUUGUCUGUGACACUUGGAAAAACAUCUCUCUCUCUCUCUCUCUCUCUCUCUCUCCGGAGAGUAAUUACAUAUCCGUAGCUCUUACCUCUGCCGCAGUGGAGAGACAGCAAUUGCGGUUGAAAAUUUCCCCGAAUUCUGGUCGAGGUCUCCUUGUAAUGCAACACUUUUGCUUCUCAAAUUGAGCUGCUCUAGUAAUGGAAGGAAAUACCUGAUUCUUUCUCGGCGUUCUUAUAAUUUUCCAAGUACCUCCCAUGGCUGAAGGUAAUUGUAUCUAGUGUGUGGAAAUUCAUGUUUUCUCUGUCGUGUUCUUCUUAAUUUAUAAAUGUAUAUGUAUUGAUUCCGUUGAAGCGCGCCUAGAUUCCUAAGCAUUCCAUAUCUAAUUACAAUAGUUUAUAUGUCAUAAUACAUUAUGCAUAAACUAAUUAUUUACAAA